GCCAGGUGUGGUGGUGCACUCCUGUAAUCCCAGCAGCUCAGGGGGCUGAGGCAGGAGGAUCGCAGGUUCAAAGCCAACCUCAGCAAUUUAGUGAGGCUUUAAGCAAUUCAACAAGACCUGGUCUCAA
rnacentral:sRNA from 1 species